UAUUCUAUUCUAUUCUAUUCUAUUCUAUUCUAUUCUAUAAACCACUUGCACGAACCACCCUGGAACCACCCUUGUGUACAUGGGUAAAUUUGAGUUUGCAAAAAAAAAAGUAAAUAAAUAUAUUUUAGCAGUUCACUGAGAGGAGUGCCGCUAGAGAGAUGAGAUGAGAAACACUUGGACCUCCUCACACUACAACAGACAUGCUAAUAGCAAUAGCUACAAAAAAUGAGAGGAGUGCAGCUGGAGAGAGAGAUGAGGAGCCACCAGACUGGUGAGAAACACGCUAACGCUAAUUAUAACAACCACACUAACACUCAGUGAAAAACAGCUCCUACAGAAGAGAGGAGGGGUGCAGCUGGAGAGAGUGAGAAACACAAGCUUCUCACACUACAACAGACAUGUUAUUGCUAAUGCUAACAGACAAAGAGUAACAGUUAUUAUAGAAGAAAGGAGUGAAGCUGGAGAGAGAUUAGGAGCUGCCAGACAGAUUUAAAACAUGCUGCUGAUCAAAGUUAGAUAUCAGGACUGCAGGAAAUUUAUCAGACUUCAGGAUGGAUUCACUUUUGCAGAUUUUGUUAAUGAAGUCCACUAUAGGUUUGGCUUACCACCUGAGACAAAUCUACACAUUUAUGACGACACUGAAACUGAGAUAGACGAGGACAUUUUACAAGAUGUGCUCAUUGCGAGACCUGAUACAUCGCUUAUUAUUGUUAGAAGAGAGAAUGAAGAAAUGUUUUCAGAUGCAACAAGCAGCUCUUGGACCGACAUUUUGUCACUUAGUCAUUCAUCAUAUGAACUUGACCAAAUGCCAGAACACCCUUACAAGAAAUCUAAGACAAAUGAUGCAGCAGCUGAGGCAAAAGAGGUUACUUGGUCAUUUACAUUUAGUAUGUUUUAAUUUAAAAAAAAUUUUUUUUCAAUUUUGAUGUAUAAUGUUUUUUUUUGUUGUUUUGUUUUUGUAAGUAAAAACCAUGGUUUUCAUAAGGGAGGAGCCAUAAAUUAAUUUAGGUUCGCUUAACAAUGUCCUUAUGUCCUUUGAUGAGAAUGGUGGAGCAAGAUGCAAAACCUCACCGAAAUAUCUCACACCCAUUUAUCCAAAUCCCAGGACCAUACACAUUACAGCGAAUCACCAAAGACUUGCCAAGUGCUCUAACGUGCCUCGAGAGAAUACCUGAAGGACAUACCUGCAGAUCUUUAGGGCAGAUAUACUGUAGAAAUCACUUACUCAGAAUUAAAUGGAGGCUUAAGUUAUGCUUGGGGAAAAGCUAAUGAUCCUCAGGUCUUUGGUGCUGUUCACCUUUCUGAUUUUUAGUUCACACAAGUGGGCACCGCAGAGUCAAAUUCAUUUUCAUACUAAUUU
rnacentral:lncRNA from 1 species